CUAGGGACAUGUGGGUCUCUCCGAUGGAACUUCUCACAACCCUAAGAUCAUAGAUAGAAUGGGCAUGUGAAGGAGAAGGGAUGAUAUAUCCUUCAAAAGCUUCACGUCCACAUGCCUAUGGAAGAUGCUACAAAACAUCGCAUUGCUCUUCCUGACGAACAGGUAUAAGUUGCUUCAUCCUCAACCAUACACGCCUCCAUUAAUCUCAAAUCUCAGAAAUCUUGGAAGGGUACUUCCAUGGUGGGUACCAUUGCCAGGAGCUUGUCUCUACAUUUAAUGGCAUGAUUUUAUCUGGCCCCUGAUAUAUACUAGCAGCCCUAGCUAGAUCCCUUUAUACUUUGAACGUGACAAUUCAUUCUGGCACUGAGUGCUUUCCUCUAAUGAGUCCAGGCUCCUAGCAUGUAUGGAAGAGAUGACAUAUGGAUAGAUACAGUUGGUCAACCAAAUGUGGACGUCGUCAAGCUGGAUCACCAUCUCCUCCCUAACCAAGCCAAAUUUAGUUGCUUUAAGGACUAAUCUAUCACCAGUGAAUGCUACUUGACUCCGUAACAUUACGUUGAAAAAAUUGCUUUCAGAUGUCAGAAAAAACCAUCACUCUCGUUCAUACUUGUCACUUGAUAUGACUCUGUCCAACUUUGAUCAUCCAUUAUUCCAUUUGAUGCCAAUUAUCUCCCUCUACCAGAGGAUAUUUUGCAGUCUAUCAAAAGAGUUGAAAUCAGAGAAUAUAGAGAGAGAAAAUGUAUAUUACAAGAAUUGGGCUACAUGGGAUAUUAUAUUACUAAAAAAUAUUUAAUUCCGUAAAUGUUUGAGAUACUUCUUAACAAAUUUAUAACGUUAUUUAUAUUUGUUAUUUUUUUUUCUGUUGUUUCCAUCUGUGUUACAGGCUUGUUGUUUGUAAAUUCAAGCCUGACAAUGUAUUUCUGCUCGAUCCUUGUUGGAUAUUUGAGCUGAGUCUCUGCCACACCCUAGGGGGAGCGCAGAAGGGAAUUGUUUGGCAGUGAAAUGCACAGAUGCUGUUUGCAAUUAUCUCAGGUUGGGGGUAUGUACAGCUCUUUGCCUGGAGUGGAACAAAGGACUCCAUUUUGUUAUGCGGCCAAUAUACCUACUGUUCCUGCCCUGCGAAAUUAUAUAUUAUACUCAGACCUCGCUGAUGAGUUUUCUUUAAAUGAGAUUUAUGACAGCGUUUAGGGUUUCUCAGACCCUUUUCCUUUUCUGUCUUCCUAAUUUUUACCUUUAAAUCUUAAUUAUCAAGUUCAGGCUGCGUCAAUGUAUGUUUUAAACUCAGACCUCA